GGUGUUGGGUGGUUUAGCUGUUGCACACUGAUUGCUCAAUGUGCCACAGGUUUGCAGACUCACCUGGCCCCAGAGUCCAAUCAGACUCGGCCAGGUGAGGCUGAAUCAACCAGCUAUCAUCCACACACACUCCCACCACUCUUACUAAGCGCGCUGAACAUACCAAGGCUUGAUUUUGAUAACCUGGUGGAUCGACAGACGACCUCACAGUCAGAGUUAAAUGAUGUGGUGCCAGCAUGACCUUGAGGACAUGGGUUCAAGUUCGGAAUAAGCACAAAAGCAUAAUUCAAUGUGCUGUACCUGUUGAAGUCCUGAGCAACACCAUUGGAAGGGGGUCAACUCCACCGCCCUUCACCGUUUCGGGGAGCUGGCCCUCGCUAAUAAUGAAGGGCAGCCGAUGAUGGCCUGGGUGGAAGGGGGGUUGUCAUCUGACCCCACUGCCUUGUUCUCGGAUACUUUUGUAAUGGUUGAACGAGCAGACAUUGUAUUGAGGGAGCUGCCGACGGUGGUAAUGGUGGUAGUGCUGGUUCAAUCUCCAAGCAGAGGACAUAAACGAUGACGAGACUCUGUCGGCCUGUGAGUCCAGGGUGACUAUGGAGGUCCAGUUUUAUUUGGAGCUGCAGGUGAAACGUCUCCGAGGUCUCUGCGCUGAAGGGUUGAUGUCUUUCAUCAAAGCACAGGCUUCUUCAUCCGGGCUGUCGUACCCGAAACUGAAAGAAACAACCGGUCUGAUAUCAACAAAGCAAAGGUGAUGGGAGUGACCUUCUGGAGACUGUGGAAUCAUCUGAGUAUGAGUACGGCCAUCUUGGCUCUACUCACGGGCGAUUCCGAGGCCUGUGACGACCACAAGGAGGAGAACCACGAGGAGCCAAGGGAGCACGGCUCGGAUCCUGUAGGCCUUCUUCUGCCCUGAAACCUUGGCCACCUCUUAAAGAGGGAGAGUGAGAGAGGAACAGAACAACUGACCGGUUAGAGACUGCAGUCUCAAGCCCUCGCUGGUCCUGGUGGGAGCGUGGAGCAUGGAACACAAUAGACUGACUAGGUUGUAUCUGAAUAUGUCUAGCAUUACUAAUAAUACUACUACUACUAUUUACAAUAGCGCUUCUACUAUUACACUUACUACUACCAGUGCUACUAUUAUUACUACUACAAUUAUAUUGCUAUUAUCAUUGCUACUACUACUACUUAUAAAAAUAAUAAUAUUUCUAAUACUACCACUGACACAACUUUUACUACUACGAGAAUAGUACUCCUAUUACAACUACCUCUACUCAAUAAUAAUAAUAACCUGAUUAUAAAUAUCUGAUCCUUGUUACAAUUGAGAUUAUUGUGUUGUUAAAGUGCUUUACCUUUGAUAAACAAUGAAAGUCCUGCAGCAAAUAUAGAUUUUUUUUCUGUGUUUACAUUUUAGUUUUUCCUUCUGCCAGGAAAGCACGUGCUUUAUGCUUAAAAGUAAUACAUUUCUGAAGAGAAAGCUAUUAAGAGACUCAUCAUAUAUUUAUGUCUUUAAAAAUAUGCAGUGUUAACAUUUAGUACUCAAAUUGUGUUUGAGUUGUGUUAAAUACUAUAAGGCAUUGUGUUGUAAUCUCAUACCUGAGUAUUCGUUCUCCACAGCUUCCCCUUUACUGUCUCCUUCGAUCCAAGGUUUAUCAUAAACAAACAGACUUUCCGCAC
ensembl:lncRNA